AUUACUGUCAUGGUCCAGUUACGCUACAUGUAUUUGUUUUUGUUUCUCUCACUUUCUUUCUCGCUUCCCUGCUCACAACGCGAUGCCUGGGCGGACCUAAUCAUGGGCCUCCCGGUUGCUGUCCUCACACCUGCAAGCAAUUUCUCACCUGAGGUUCAUCAUCCUGUUUACCAGCCACUUCUGAAGGCAGUUGCUUGGAGCCCUUUGUCGCUGGACUACUGUAUUUUCCGUGCCCCGCCUUGAGACCCUGUUCGUGAGUGUGGUAGUUGCAGUGAGCCUGUGGAGCCCCCCCACCCUCCAUGGACCUCUGGAUUUGCUGGACCCCUUCUCCCCACUUGUAUAUAGUGCACUCUGUGUCAUGUAAAUAAAAAAAAUGUUUAUUGUGA